rnacentral:rRNA from 1 species
ACGGAGGGUGCAAGCGUUAUCCGGAUUCACUGGGUUUAAAGGGUGCGUAGGCGGGCAGGUAAGUCAGUGGUGAAAUCCUUGAGCUUAACUCGAGAACUGCCGUUGAUACUAUCUGUCUUGAAUAUUGUGGAGGUGAGCGGAAUAUGUCAUGUAGCGGUGAAAUGCUUAGAUAUGACAUAGAACACCAAUUGCGAAGGCAGCUCGCUACACAUAUAUUGACUCUGAGGCACGAAAGCGUGGGGAUCAAACAGGA